CUGUUUUUAAAAAAAACCUUCCACCUUUUCUUUUUCUCUCUGCAGGGCCUGAGGGUCCAGUGGGAACUCCAGUUCCGGACCGCCGCCGUCUACCACCGUGCACGGUGGCCAGAACUCGAAAAAAAGGUAAUUUUUUUCUUUUUUAUUACUUUUGAUAUAUUUAUAUAUAUAAACUGUUUUUUAAAGGAAAAUAAAGAAAAUAUAGGAGUAUGCAUAUAUAUUCGAAGAAGGAAAAUAAAGAAGAAGAAAUAAAAUAAAUAAAUAAAAAAGAAAUGAAAAUAAAGACCUUAGCACGUUUUUAUUUUCUUCCACUGCUUGCUGUUUUUUCGAUUUGUUUGGUGUGUUUGAAUCUGUUUUUAAAUUCGAUAAACCCCCCCCCCAAAUAAUUACAUUGCUUUUAGGCUUUUAUAUAGCCUUUUACAAUUUGUUUGCUUAAUGAUUUCUCUACUCUUUUUUGCAGGUGCAAGUGGACGGAGCCAUCACAGUGGCGGUGCUGCAGGCGCGCCAGUGGCGGUGGACGUGACAAGGGCAGACCUAGGUGCGACGCACUUAGGAUUUUCUUUUGUUUUUUUGUGUUUUAUGGUUUUGGGCUUAAUUGAGCUUCAAGUUAGGCUGAAUUGAGUUUAGUUUUUAAAUUUGGUUUUGGGUCUUAUGGAUUGUUGGGUCAAGUUUGGGGUUGUAUUAGUUUUGGGCUAAUGAUUUUUUAUUAGGUUUGAUUUGGGUCUUGGGUUUGGUUUGGGUUGUUUGGUUUUGGGCCCGGUCAAAAUUUGUGUCUUCCGGCGGUGACUUCAAGAGCUCCAAACCCUCAAACAUAAACCAAACAAAAGCCAUGGAACCUCCUAUCUUUUUUAGAACAACUUAUAAACAAACGGGAUAAUAAUGUUCACAUCAUUCAUUCCUACAUUUACCACUUCCUCUUCCAAAUCCUCGACUUGUUCGAGGUUGAAGUUAUGGAGCAUAGCUAUUAUAGAAAUAGUCGAGAUCGGUGUGACUGUCAGGUCGUCCAUGAUUGUAUACGUAAUGACCCCUUUCACAGAACCCUCCUUUGCAGUAGGUGAUGAUGUUGAAACCUUAUUUGGUGGCAGGUGUACAAAUGUUGCAGGGAUUCAUUGACUCCAGAGCAAGAAGGGCAAGUAGUUGUGGAUCAUGUGUGUAAUACAAACAGCUCUCAUCAUACAGUCCAUUAUAACCAUAUGAACACUGGUAAAACCUGUGUUGUUGAUGAUUGAAUGUUUGGCAACAAGACAGGAACAUUGGCUGGCAAGCUUGAAGAAUAUUUAGGUUUCAACUACGUGUCCUUGUUUGUUGUUAGCAGAAUGAAUGAAUCACUCAAUUUUUCAACGCUCUCGUAAGGGUUUGCAAGACAUACGACCAUGCCCUCUUUUGCAAGCAACCUUAUAACAUAUUGUCAUAAGGUUGCUUCUGCAUAUAAGCUUCAAGCUCACAGUGGUGGUGGUGGAGGCCAUGGAUGGUAUUAGUCGAUAUGAAAUGGUGUGUAUUGCAGUGAAUCCCCGACCAGACACUGCUUUAUAGAGGUUUCUUUUAGCAGAAAUGAUGCCUAGAGAGAAUUGAAAAGGACACAAAUGAACAUUCACUAAGAGAACCCUCUAACUUUCCUGUAGUCAUGUAAUAAAUAGCCAAUAGUUUAUGAAUAUUUUAAUUAUAAUAAAAAUAAAUAGUUAAAUUUCUAUUCAUUUAUCAAAAUUAAAUAACCAAUUAUUAAGUUUUGCUA
rnacentral:lncRNA from 1 species